rnacentral:rRNA from 1 species
AACGAACGCUGGCGGCAUGCCUAACACAUGCAAGUCGAACGAGAUCUUCGGGUCUAGUGGCGCACGGGUGCGUAACGCGUGGGAAUCUGCCCUUUGGUUCGGAAUAACAGUUGGAAACGACUGCUAAUACCGGAUGAUGACGAAAGUCCAAAGAUUUAUCGCCAGAGGAUGAGCCCGCGUAGGAUUAGCUAGUUGGUGUGGUAAAGGCGCACCAAGGCGACGAUCCUUAGCUGGUCUGAGAGGAUGAUCAGCCACACUGGGACUGAGACACGGCCCAGACUCCUACGGGAGGCAGCAGUGGGGAAUAUUGGACAAUGGGCGAAAGCCUGAUCCAGCAAUGCCGCGUGAGUGAUGAAGGCCUUAGGGUUGUAAAGCUCUUUUACCCGGGAUGAUAAUGACAGUAGCGGGGGAAUAAGCUCCGGCUAACUCCGUGCCAGCCGCCGCUGUAA